GGGCUUGCUGGGGUGCCUGGUUAGUGGUGGGCAGCCUCAGGGUGGCUCUGCCUGAGGGCCCAGCUGGCCCCGCUCCCGUCCUCUGCCGCAGCUCCUCCGGAGCAUCUGCAGCCUCGGUGGUAGCACCUGGAAAAGGGGCACAUCUUGCCAAGGUUUUGGGAGAAGCCUGGGUAUGCUGAGGGCUUACGAAGUCGAGAUGACCUCACACCACAAGGUGACAGCUUCUACUUAAUGAAAAAAUCCAGCUUUUAUUGAUGGGAGUGAUAUAAAAAAACUGCAACAGUGCUCAGCAAAUGACUGGUGUUUGGGACCCGUGGCCUCUAGAUUUAGCCGGGUUUGGAUUUGUGAUCUGGGCUCCAUGCCUGAGGCAGAAAGUCGUGCCCUCAGUCAGCCCGAGUUGAGACCGAUGUGAAGCGGCUGGAGGGGGUCCUCUGGGACAUUUGCAAAUGACCACGCCCCUGCUCUACUGCAAACGACGACUGGGCAAGGAGGACUGACCAUGGGGCUGGACAAGGAGGAGCUGACCACAGGAGGCUCGGACUGGGAGCCAGAAGAGCCCCCGGGGAAGCUUCGGAAAGCAGGAAGAGCAGCUGGUUUGGGCAGCCCCAAAUGCCUGCUCUAGGUCUGAAUAUCGUUACCUAAUCCCUGCGAGGGAGUGGGGAGCGGCUGUGCAGGUUCUGAGUGCAGGUUUAACGCCUGGCUCGGUUUGCUACCUGUUGGGAUUUUAUUUUAUUUUUUUGAGACGUAGUCUCGCUCUGUCGCCAGCCUGGAGUGCAGUGGCGACAUCUCGGCUACCUGCAACCUCCGCCUCCCGGAUUCAAGCGAUUCACCUGUUAGGAAUUUUAACAUUCAGCGCCCACGUGCAGAGUAGAGGAGGCUGGAGGGGCGCAACACCGCCGUCUCGCGGCGACGGGGUGCACAGCGCCUGUGAGGACCCAGGCUGGGAACCACCUGUCCCAGAGACUCAUCUUCAGCAUCAAAGCGCGUCCCCGCGCUGUUCGUAAAGAGCUUGCCAUGCGGCAGGUACCGCGCAGGACUCCAGACCUGCCUUAUCUUUCGAGAUCCCCACAGCCCCUGAAGGGAGGGACCACUAAUAUCAACAUUCACAGGACGGAAUCGGAGGUGUCCUUGUGUUCACAGCCGGGCAGCCCACCCAGCUGGAGGGGGGUACUUGGGGAACGCUGUCUAGCUCGCGAGAGGUGGAAGUGGGCUCCUGAGAAGGGCGGCCGCGUGUGGCUUCACUGUCCCCUUUUGCGUUUAAAGGGAACUUCUCCGGAUGGAUUAGGUGUCACGGCAGCAGUGUGAGAACGGAAGCACCCAAGCCCGUCCCCUCGGCCAGCCCCUUCACCUCUCUGGGCCUCAGUGUCUUCACUUGUCAAACGGGAACAGGGACGCUCCUUCCCAGUGCAGGGUGGGGUCCGAGUGAGCUAGGGCAAGCCAGCGUUCAGUGCAGAGCAGCUGGGGUCUGAGUCCUUGGGGAGCUGGGCUUGGAGAAAGUGAGAUCUCGUGGGCUCUGGGAAGGAAGGCCUGUGCUCUGUUCCCACACAGCACCCGCAGCGGCAGGGCUCCUUGGGGAGGCCAGACCAGGGCCAGGCAUGGCCAGAAAGACCCUGCCUUUAAGGGGCUGUGGAACCCUGGGCAAGGAGUGUACCCAAGUAACCAGCGUGGCCCAAGGCCAGGGGUCCCCUCUGUGAGCGUCAGAUUGGAGGGGGCCCUCACGAUCUUGCAGACCCUGCAGCCACCUCGGGCCAGAAGCCAAGCAGGGUCCCUGCCCUCAGAGAGCUUCUAGUCUAGUGGAGAUACACACAUGAAACUGCCUUGUUUAGAAGCUACCAGGAAGGAGAGGCCCCAGUGAGAGGACAGCAAAUAAAGGGGGAAUGUGACCUGGUCAGGCCAUCAGGGAAAGCUUCCUGAGGAGAGGACGAUGGAUGAAAUUUGGAGGCAGAGUGGGCACUGCCUGGGAGGCAGGGAGGGGAGAGCGUUUCAGGAAGAGGAAGGAGCAUGUGCUGGGCAGGAAGAAGGGAGGACCGGGAGUCCCAGACUGAGGGAGGACAGUGCCAGGAGGGCCUGGAAAAGCAGAGAGGGGAGGGUCAGGCCACAGCAGGCUCGAGAGGCCACGGAGGGGGCUGUGUGUGAGAGGGAGGGUGACAGGGAUGGUGGGAGGGAGGAAAGAGAGGAGAGAUGGAACCUGAUUUGCAUUUCACAAUGACAACUCUGCCUGCUGGGGUGGAGAAGGAUCUAGAAGGGUCUGGCGUAGGCAGGUGGGCAGAGCACCUGCGAGGUUAGUUAUUGCAGAUGAUCAGGAAGGAGACUUUGUAACCUGGGCCAGGGAAAUGAAGGGAACAAGGCCAGUGGUCAGUCCAGGGGCGUGGGGACAGGUGGGAGGCGGGGGUGAGGGGAGCCCCAGGGAUGGCACCCAGGCUUCUGUGUUACACAGUUGGAUGGCUGGAGGUGGCCUCGCCAGGAAGGAACAGCUGGAGGAGGCCAGGUUUUGGAGGGAGGGCAUCUGCAUUCAGCCUUGGCCGUGCUGAGCCUGAGCUGCUGCUGAGCUAUCCAGGGGAAACACACAGGGAUGGGGGGUCUGUGUCGCCAGUGAGGGGACUGUGCAAGUGACUGUCCUAACUGAACACUUCAGAGUGAAGAGCAGCUCUGU